GAGAAUUGGGGUGGGGCGCGCCAAGAGGAGCAAGCAUUAUAGAACGUGGGGAGCAUGAGAAAUACACGGAGGUGGAAACGCCGGAGUGGCUGGCGGGUAAAGGCAGCGGGCGCAGAUGAAGCGGGCUGGGCGUCCCACGCGCAGAACCGUCCCGGACAGAAGCCGCAGGGGCUGCGCUGGCUGGAAAAAGGAACGCGAGGACAGCGCGCGUGGCGCGGGGUCUGCUCCAGGACGGAAUCUUUUGGGUGGCCCGCAUGAGGGGUUUGCAGGACCCCGGGCCUUUGGGAAGUUAUCUGCUAAACUCCAGUAGACCCUGAGGAGCAGCGGCUCAUGAAUCUUCUUAAACUUCUGUCUUCAGCGGCUGGGCCAGCUGAAGGUGACCAUGACACACGAGGGAGAGAGAAGCCCGCGAGAGGCGGAGAAUUGUGGGGUCGUCCAGGAGGGUCGACAAGGCAAAGAACCUGAAGACCACCCAAAAGGGUACCUAAAGUUGAACUUCCUCUCUUUUUAGAAGAAUGGAUUUCUCGGAGUCCGAAAAAUUUAUGGUUCUUCUCUGGAAGAAUUUUAUUUUAAAGAGGCGGCGAUGUAUUGCUUUAGUUGUGGAAAUGGUCCUCACAUUUCUGUUUAGUGCUGCACUUUUGGCAACACGCUCUGUUAUUACUAUAAAGAACGGACCUUUCGAUUUUGCUGCUCAGCCUGUCGAUGAAGUGCCUUUCUACAUCACAGCUUCCUUAAUUUCUCCUUCUCCUUUGGAAUUGGCUUACGUGCCUUCCAGAAGUACUGUGGUUCAGGGUAUUAUUGAAAGGGUGAAAAUGGAUUUAAACCCUCAAAUGAAAGGUUAGAAAUUAACAUUUUCUGAAAAAACAUACAGAAUUACUAAAUCGAUUUAGUGAAGACAUACUUACAACCUUAUUAACUGGUUCUUAACCUCCCAAGUAAAACAUCGUUGGAAUCCUCAUACUAAGUAUAAAUAUUAUGGACUUUGUUAAACUUGAAAGUUAAAUUUAUAUAAAAUAUUUUGUUCAUAGAGCCAAGAACAAAUAGUAAUAUUUCAAAAUGAGAUGACCAAUUAUUAUUAUUAUUCUAAGUUGUUAUCCAGUUUUGUGAUACUGUUUUUUCUAUCUGGUUGUGCUUCUUGAACCUGGGUAAGUAUACCUCCAGGGGUGUGUGAUUUUGUGCCACAGGUCAGUGGUCAGUUAUUUAAAAUAAUGUUUUAUAUUAAAAUGUGGUGUGAGUAAUAUAGGAAGGCUUUAGAAAACACUUAAGCUAUGUAGAAUUAUUUUAAAAGCCCUCAGUCUCUCACUUACCUUCAUAUUCCCGGAUCAGUUUCUUACCUCUUUCUCUUAGAGGUAAAUACUGUGAGAAGUUUAGGUCGGCCGGGCCCAGUGGCUCACGCCUGUAAUCCCAGCAUUUUGGGAGGCUGAGGUGGGCAGAUCACCUGAGGUCAGGAGUUCAAGACCAGCCUGGCCAACAUGGCAAAACCCCAUCUCUACUAAAAAUAUAAGAAUUAGCCAGACAUGGUGGUAUGCACCUAUAGUCCCAGCUACUUGGGAGGCUGAGGCAUGCGAAUUGCUUGAACCCAGGAGGAGGAGGUUGCAGUGAGGUGAAAUUGCACCACUGCAUUCCAGCCUGGGUGACAGACCAAGACUCUGUCUC
rnacentral:sRNA from 1 species